CACCUCGUAAGCUACACAAAUCAUUUUAUUAAAAUUCUGUUAAAAUGUUAGUGUAACGUUAAAUCAUAUCAGCCAUGGGUUCCAACAAAACGCGAAACGUUAUUCGACACGGGAACGCAACAAGUUCCCCGCUAAUUGCUCAAUUCAACGCCAACUGAGCGAUCGACUCUCCUCGGUUAAUUAUCUUCUAAAAAAUGAAAAGAGAAAAAGGGGGCAUAAGGAAAUGUAGAGGAGACUACCAACCAGUUGUUUAAUAUUGUCCAUAUUAACACGGUGAAUAAAUCGCAUUCCACCUUAUUGCCCACAUGUCGCGCAGCCAACGAUCCAUGAAUGGUCAUUAGCGUUGGCAUUAAGUGGUUACGAAGGCAGGUGCUACGCUGACAGGUGGACCACCGAGCAAACUUUGCAACGAAACAUAAUACAUACUAUGUAUCGCUUCUUUCAUUCCAUUUCGCCUGUUGUCCGUUCACGUGGCGCUCCACUUUCCUUCCCCGACUUUGUUCUCUUUUAAUUUCGUCAUCGAUAAUGGUUAUCGGUAAUUAAAAGAGAACAUUCCGUCGUCAAUGAUGGUUAUCGGUAGUCAGAAAAUAAUCCUCCAUUAAUAGCGUGAUAUUAUUACGUUAAUAAUGUUAUUACAUUAAUACUGAUAAUAACGAAAAAAUUCUGUCAUCAAUAAUGGUUACUUUUAACCAAAAAUAAUUCCAUCAUCCAUAAUGGUUACCGAUAACUAAAAAGUAAUCCGCUAUUAAUAAUGAUUACCGAUGACAAAGGAAUUUCUAUUAUCGAUAAUGGUUUGUUAGUAACCAAAGAAAUAUUCCAUCAACGAUAGUAGUUUACCGGUGAUAAAGAAGAUUCCGUCAUCGAUAAUGGUUAUUGCUAAUCAAAAAGUAUUCCGUCAUUGAUAAUGGUUACUGGUAAUAAAAAAAGAUUUCGUCACUGAUAACGGUUAUCGUUGAAUAAAAACAAAUCCAUCGUCAUCGAUAACGGUUAUUGGUAAUUAAAAGCAAUUCCUUUGUCGAUGAUGGUUAUCGGUAAGCGAAAAAUAUUCCGCUAUGUGCUGGUUACUGAAUUUUUCGAAAAAUUUCUAUUUCAAAUUUACUGAUCAAUGUCCUCCAUUUAAAUAGAAAUUACCAUUUUGGCACUGACCUCUGUCUAUAGAAAUUUUCGAGACAAUUAUUAUCUUUUGUUACUACUGAUAAUAACACCGAAUAAUUAGGAAUAUCGAAUAUCAAAUAUUAAACAUCGAAUAACAAUAAAAUUUCAAUGAACUCUCGAGCAGAUAUCUUAUUGAAAUGUGCAAUAGGAAAGAUAUGGAAUGUGGGCGGGUUAACACAUGUAGCUUUAAUAUUCAGUGGGCGUGUGCAAAUUAUCAAGAGUGGAAUAUGUACGUGAGUCUAAAUCUGAACGACAGUGUUUUACGGCCGUCUGGGAGUCGUGUUCACAAGCACGGACAAGUAGAUGACUCAUCUGAACGUGUCUCUUCCGUUGCACCUGAUUAAAACGGGAUUUACAUAACAUACAUAUAAUGAACGGUGUUAAUUGAUAUCGUCGGCCUAAUUACUACAAUUACUUAUCCGUUCAGAAACAUUGAAACAUCGGUCGACCAUCCUAUAGAAAAUACGACAAAUAAUAAAAUAAAAAUAAAAAGGGGAUCGACUAAAAUCCGGAAGCGUAGGACAGUUCUAAUUACAAGAAUUCUAGCGAAGAAAAUCAGAUAAAAUACAGUCGUCACCUAGACCACAGAUGAUUCUAGGAUAAGCAACAAUAUGAUUACUGUCAUUACGUCAGUGUUCCUUAAUGACCGAGUGGGACCAAACUUCCUCGUAAGGGGGAAAAUUUAUUCUUGAAGCAAUUUAGGACAGAUUUCUCGAGGAAGUGUGUACUUAAAUCAAUUUCUUGAGCACUGAAUAUGAAAUAUAGAGUGUCGAAUACAAGGUAUUUCAGACGAUGCACCCUCUUCAAAAAUCCUCGAGACACGAGUCGUGUACCAUUAGCCAAAUAGGAAUGUGCGUUUACCACUUAGCAGGAAAAAUAGUCCCUUUGGAAAGGCAAACGAGGGACUCAUUGGCCCCUUCGACAAGGUAUACAGCUGAUCAGUGGGAAGAGGUUUCGAGUUAAGGGGCAAAUAGAAAGAAAGCUGGACACAGGAAAGAGACGACCUCUUGGGUAGAGAGGAAAAAGAGACAAUGUGUAUAAACGGGCUGUGGUCGUACGUGUGUGCCCCGGAACGAAGGAGGGGCGUAAUGCCUUUAGCAAAGCAGCUUGUUCCUCGCAUUCCUUCUCGCGGUGCUUGUCGCGUUCUCCUCUGUGCAUUAUAUACGACUAAACUCAGUGGUCUCAGGUUCCUGAGAACCAAACCCCAACGAGGACUCAUAACGCCGCGUUGAUCCCAUGAGAGUAGGUACCGGCGCACCUUCUUCUCUACGAGUUCGCCAAGUUAAAUAGAGUCCAACGUGACCGUCGUUAUUCACGGAUUCUCUUUUAUUAUAGUCGCCUGUUAGGCAGGGAGCUAAGCUGGCUCUUUCCUUGUUACGUCACGGUGUUGAGUUACCCGUAUUCGAAUCUUUUCUCCUUCUUCCUGGAUUCUUCGCGUAAAAAUAUACUUUAAGUAUUUCCUAUUUGGCAUUCGGUAUUUAAUGUUCCGUAUUUAGUACUUAACAACUGUAAGUUAUAAGUUGUAAUAGGAGAAUUAAGUACCGUUUUCAGGCUUAUAUUUAUUUUCUACCUCUUGCUGCAUUUUCUUCCUAUCUUUAACAUUUAACGCUUAAUAUUUGCUAUCUGACGAUUGUCGUAUUUAUUACAGCGUUUGCAUAUUAAUUAAUUGAAUCCAAGCGUAUUGACUUUCUUAAUGUCUUUAGUAGCGCACUUCCAUGCGAUUACAAAAGUUUAUGUAGAAUCUGAUAAGAAAGCGUUUCAUUGAAAGACGAAGGUACGCGUAAAUACUUUUCGUAGCCAUUGUAUGAUGAGAAUAUUUGGAAUAGAUGAAGCAAUAAUAGAAAGAAUAAUCGUAAAGUAAAAACGAAGAAUGAACAGAAUUAGUGAAACAAUAGGAACUUUUUAAGGAUCGUUUAAUCAUGAUUAAGGACGCACAAGAAGCGAAAGAAACGCGAAGUACAAUAUCGCGUGCCUCUGAAAUCGUCGUGCCGGUCGAGUUGACCGUGAAUUAUAAAUCUUCGAUCCAUUUCUUUCGCCUCACGCGGAAUUUAUUUAAGAUGCUUGUUCGAUGCACUUCGCGUGACACAACACGCGGAUGCUACCUUCUCUGGCGUGGAAGAACGGGUAUUCCAGGGCGAUAAUGAGUGCAGCAAGUGCAGUUGGAAACACGAUGCCCACUAUAAAUUAUAUCCUACUUAUUUCCAGGCUCACCGAUGAGACAAAUGGAUACUGGUGCUCGGCUGCUGCGACCUUUUCCGCUAUGAGCGGAUAUAAAUAUCUUCCUUCCUAGGAUAGUAGGAAAUUCUCGUUUUUCACGUAUACGGCGAUGAUAUUUCCAGUUAUCAAGUUAGUACUUAGUAUUUGGCUUUCGAUGUUUCGGAUUUCGCUCUGGCAAGUACGGCGUUCUAAAUUUCGUAUUCGGCUUUUAGAAAAUUUGAUAUUCGACUCUUGAGAAAUCCGACACUCAAAACUUGGUAUUCAGCUUUUAGAAACUUUGGUAUUUAGAUUUUAGAAAAUUUGCUAUUCCACUUGUGGAGAAUUCCAUACUCGAAAUUUGACAUUCGGUUUUCCAAGAAUCGAAUACUCGUCUCUUGAAGAGCGUUAAAUUUAAUAUUCGUUAUUCAGUAAAUUGGUAAAUUCGAUAUUCGAUAUGUAAUUAGAACCUUCGAUAGCAAUUAGAAAAUUGAGUAUUUGGUAGUUAGUUAGUAGUCGAUGUACAGUACCCAAAAAUAAAAAAGUUCGAUAUUUAAUUUUCAGUAUUUGAUUCUGGAAAAAUCGUCUACUUGGUAUUCGAUAUUUACUAUUCCUUUCACAUUCGCCUCCUAUAAUUCGUAAAUUAUACCAGAUGUUCAAGUUCCUCGAAAAUUUAUUUAGAUACCUUCGCAACAAACGUGUUGUAAAUUCCUUCGAUAAUUGAUUUUUCUCGUACGAGCGGAAUCGUUGAAAAACCCUAUCGAGUGUAAGGUCGUUUAAAAUCGUUGAAAUUGUUCUACCUGUGCUUUGAUCUUGAUUAGGGCUCGGUUUUUACCUUUCACGCGAGUACUACCUACGGUUACCUCGUUGCUACGUAGCUUACCUUCGUAAACCGGAAACACGCUAUUAGCCGGGACUCUUGUUUUACCGUGAUCACGUGUUCCUUUAUAAUUGCCUCUGAUGCUUUUUGUGUUCAUCAACCUUUCUUUCAUUUUUUCCCCUCCCUUUCCGCUGCGACCUGCAUACGCUUCAAUGAAAGACCGCGCGAAAGAAUAGCAGGAUAACGUGACGGAAUAACCCGAAACAGGUUGUUUAAUUGCAUCAGCUAAUACUCGGCAAUGUGUAACUUGCCCGUUUCAGUCUUCGAAUUUCUGCUUUCAUAAACCGUUGCUUUCAUACUUACGCAUAUUCAUCAAGCAUCUCGUACAGAUACACUAGCAUUCAAAAGUGUUUAGAUAUUCGCUAGUUUCCUUUUCAUAUAAUUCAUUAAAGGAUUCCUAUCAAAUAUGUUUAAAAUAGACAAUAUGUGUAUAACGUGUGUGUGUAUGUGUGUGAAAGAAAGAGAGAGACUCACGAAAAUAUUAUUUAUAUCUUAUUCAACUGAAUACAAUGAAAUUAGAUUUUAACUGACAUACUAUGCAAAUCUUUGUUAUUUUUAUCAUAAAUUUUGCGUUAUUUCUAUUAACAAGUUACCACUAUUUUUGUAAAUUUUUAUUAUUUUUUAAAUCUUCUAUUGUACUUAUGAGCGAUACUAUACUCUGCUAUAUAAACGUUCGUUACACCAGUACGAUAUUAAUAACUUUUAAUGUAAACGGAACUUUAUAAACUGUAUUUCCAUAUAAGCUAUCGCGAGGAACCUCCACGUAUUCCGCCCCAUAUAUGCCAUCUGUGAAACUUGUUUUCAUUUAUGAUUAAAUUGCUCUUAAUUAGAA